rnacentral:rRNA from 1 species
CUAGCAUAUCAAUAAKCGGAGGAAWAGAAACCAACAGGGAUUGCCCUUAGUAACGGCGAGUGAAGCGGCAAUAGCUCAAAUUUGAAAUCUGUCUCUUUUAGAGUCCGAGUUGUAAUUUGUAGAGGAUGUUUCGGCUUACGCCCCGGUUUAAGUUCCUUGGAACAGGACGUCAUAGAGGGUGAGAAUCCCGUUUAUGGCCGGCGGCUUCCGCUAUGUGAAACUCCUUCGACGAGUCGAGUUGUUUGGGAAUGCAGCUCUAAAUGGGAGGUAAAUUUCUUCUAAAGCUAAAUACUAGCCAGAGACCGAUAGCGCACAAGUAGAGUGAUCGAAAGAUGAAAAGCACUUUGGAAAGAGAGUUAAAAAGUACGUGAAAUUGUUGAAAGGGAAGCGCUUGCGACUAGACUUGUCUUCAGUUGCUCCGCCGGUCCUUCGACCGGUGUAUUCUUCUGUUGUCAGGCCAGCAUUAGUUCGGGUGGUUGGAUAAAGGCUUUGGGAAUGUGACUCUCUUCGGGGAGUGUUAUAGCCCUUUGUGUAAUACAGCCUACCUGGACUAAGGACCGCGCUUCGGCUAGGAUGCUGGCGUAAUGGUCGUAAGCGGCCCGUCUUGAAACACGGACCAAGGAGUCUAACAUCUAUGCGAGUGUUUGGGUGUCAAACCCGUGCGCGUAAUGAAAGUGAACGGAGGUGGGAACCUUUUAGGUGCACCAUCGACCGAUCCUGAUGUCUUCGGAUGGAUUUGAGUAAGAGCAUAGCUGUUGGGACCCGAAAGAUGGUGAACUAUGCCUGAAUAGGGUGAAGCCAGAGGAAACUCUGGUGGAGGCUCGCAGCGGUUCUGACGUGCAAAUCGAUCGUCAAAUUUAGGCAUAGGGGCGAAAGUAAGUUAUAAAUUACCCAUGAGAAAUACUCUUUAAACUUUUUUACUAAUUGAUUUUUUUUUUAGGACUAAUCGAACCAUCUAGUASCUGGGUUCCUGCCGAAGUCUCCCCCCCACAGAUUUAA